rnacentral:rRNA from 1 species
CACGUAGGGCGCAAGCGUUGUCCGGAAUUAUUGGGCGUAAAGAGCUCGUAGGCGGUCUGUUGCGUCUGCUGUGAAAACUCGGGGCUUAACCCCGAGCCUGCAGUGGAUACGGGCAGACUAGAGGUAGGUAGGGGAGAAUGGAAUUCCCGGUGUAGCGGUGAAAUGCGCAGAUAUCAGGAGGAACACCGGUGGCGAAGGCGGGUCUCUGGGCCGAAAUUGACGCUGAGGAGCGAAAGCGUGGGGAGCAAACAGG